rnacentral:rRNA from 1 species
GACGAACCGUGCGAACGUUGUUCGGAAUCACUGGGCUUAAAGGGCGCGUAGGCGGUCUAUCAAGUCGGGGGUGAAAUCUUUCGGCUCAACCGGAAAACUGCCUUUGAUACUGAUAGGCUGGAGGGAGGUAGGGGUUGCGGGAACUACCAGUGGAGCGGUGAAAUGCGUUGAUAUUGGUAGGAACGCCGGUGGCGAAAGCGCGCAACUGGACCUUUUCUGACGCUGAGGCGCGAAAGCUAGGGGAGCAAACGGG